UACGUAGGGUGCGAGCGUUAAUCGGAAUUACUGGGCGUAAAGCGUGCGCAGGCGGUUAUGCAAGACAAAUGCGAAAUCCCCGGGCUCAACCUGGGAACUGCAUUUGUGACUGCAUGGCUGGAGUGCGGCAGAGGGGGAUGGAAUUCCGCGUGUAGCAGUGAAAUGCGUAGAGAUGCGGAGGAACACCGAUGGCGAAGGCAGCCCCCUGGGCUAACACUGACGCUCAGGCACGAAAGCGUGGGGAGCAAACAGG
rnacentral:rRNA from 1 species